rnacentral:rRNA from 1 species
UACGUAGGGUGCGAGCGUUGUCCGGAAUUAUUGGGCGUAAAGGGCUCGUAGGCGGUUUGUCGCGUCGGGAGUGAAAACCCAGGGCUUAACCCUGGGCCUGCUUCCGAUACGGGCAGACUAGAGGUAUGCAGGGGAGAACGGAAUUCCUGGUGUAGCGGUGAAAUGCGCAGAUAUCAGGAAGAACACCGGUGGCGAAGGCGGCGCUCUGGACCGAGACUGACGCUGAGGCGCGAAAGCGUGGGGAGCAAACAGG